CCCGAGACUAGAGUCACAUCCUCACACUUGCUGUUGUCCUGGUGUGCUAUAGUACUCGAAGAAUAUCUACUGAUCUUAUUCACUGGCUGCAGCUUCUUAUAGCCCAGUCAGUCACCAGAUUAGUGACAUUA
ensembl:snoRNA